UACGCAGGGUGCAAGCGUUGUCCGGAAUUAUUGGGCGUAAAGAGCUCGUAGGCGGUUUGUCGCGUCUGCUGUGAAAACCUAAGGCUCAACCUUGGGCUUGCAGUGGGUACGGGCAGGCUAGAGUUCGGCAGGGGGAGACUGGAAUUCCUGGUGUAGCGGUGAAAUGCGCAGAUAUCAGGAGGAACACCGGUGGCGAAGGCGGUUCUCUGGGCAUGUCCUGACGCUGAGGAGCGAAAGUGUGGGGAGCGAACAGG
rnacentral:rRNA from 1 species